GCGGAGGAAAAGAAACCAACAGGGAUUGCCUCAGUAACGGCGAGUGAAGCGGCAACAGCUCAAAUUUGAAAUCUGGCUCCUGCGGGGCCCGAGUUGUAAUUUGUAGAAGAUGCUUUGAGCGUGGCUCCAGUCUAAGUUCCUUGGAACAGGACGUCAUAGAGGGUGAGAAUCCCGUAUGUGACUGGGUGCCUCCGUUCGUGUAAAGCUCUUUCGACGAGUCGAGUUGUUUGGGAAUGCAGCUCAAAAUGGGUGGUAAAUUUCAUCUAAAGCUAAAUAUUGGCCAGAGACCGAUAGCGCACAAGUAGAGUGAUCGAAAGAUGAAAAGCACUUUGGAAAGAGAGUUAAACAGUACGUGAAAUUGUUGAAAGGGAAGCGCUUGCAACCAGACUUGCCCGCUGCUGAUCAUCCGAGGUUCUCCCCGGUGCACUCGGCAGCGAUCAGGCCAGCAUCGGUUCUGGUGGGCGGAUAAAGGCCUUGGGAAUGUAGCUUCCUUCGGGGAGUGUUAUAGCCCUCGGUGCAAUGCGCCCUACCGGGACCGAGGACCGCGCUCGGCUAGGAUGCUGC
rnacentral:rRNA from 1 species